CGUAGGUGGCAAGCGUUGUCCGGAAUUAUUGGGCGUAAAAGCGCGCGCAGGCGGCCCUUUAAAGUCUGAUGUGAAAGCCCACGGCUCAACCGUGGAGGGUCAUUGGAAACUGGAGGACUUGAGUGCAGAAGAGGAAAAGUGGAAUUCCAAAGUGUAAGCGGUGAAAAUGCGUAGAGAUUUGGAGGAACACCAGUGGCGAAAGGCGACUUUCUGGUCUGUAACUGACGCUGAGGCGCGAAAAGCGUGGGGGAGCGAAACAGGAUU
rnacentral:rRNA from 1 species